CUGAAUAGGGCGCUUAGUCAGAUGCUGCAGACCCGAAACGAAGUGAUCUAUCCAUGAGCAAGUUGAAGCUAGUGUAAGAACUAGUGGAGGACUGAACCCAUAGGCGUUGAAAAGCCCCGGGAUGACUUGUGGAUAGGGGUGAAAGGCCAAUCAAACUUCGUGAUAGCUGGUUCUCUCCGAAAUAUAUUUAGGUAUAGCGUUGUGUCGUAAUAUAAGGGGGUAGAGCACUGAAUGGGCUAGGGCAUACACCAAUGUACCAAACCCUAUCAAACUCCGAAUACCUUAUAUGUAAUCACAGCAGUCAGGCGGCGAGUGAUAAAAUCCGUCGUCAAGAGGGAAACAACCCAGACUACCAGCUAAGGUCCCUAAAUCUUACUUAAGUGGAAAACGAUGUGAAGUUACUUAAACAACCAGGAGGUUGGCUUAGAAGCAGCCAUCCUUUAAAGAAAGCGUAAUAGCUCACUGGUCUAGUGAUUUUGCGCGGAAAAUAUAACGGGGCUAAAGUAAGUACCGAAGCUGUAGACUUGCGCACAACUUAGAUUAUUUAAGUUUAGAAUAUGAGAAACUAAGUUAUAUGUUUAGUUAUAUUUUUACUGAUUUUUAUAGAGUAAAGAUAGAAAUAAAACUUAGUAAAAUCAGUAAAAAUAUUCUUAGACUAAAGUUAAGUAGUUUAAGUUGUGUGCAAGUGGUAGGAGAGCGUUCUAUUUGCGUCGAAGGUAUACCGGUAAGGAGUGCUGGAGCGAAUAGAAGUGAGCAUGCAGGCAUGAGUAGCGAUAAUUAAUGUGAGAAUCAUUAACGCCGUAAACCCAAGGUUUCCUACGCGAUGCUCGUCAUCGUAGGGUUAGUCGGGUCCUAAGUCGAGUCCGAAAGGGGUAGACGAUGGCAAAUUGGUUAAUAUUCCAAUACCAACAUUAGUGUGCGAUGGAAGGACGCUUAGGGCUAAGGGGGCUAGCGGAUGGAAGUGCUAGUCUAAGGUCGUAGGAGGUUAUACAGGCAAAUCCGUAUAACAAUACUCCGAGAACUGAAAGGCUUUUUGAAGUCUUCGGAUGGAUAGAAGAACCCCUGAUGCCGUCGAGCCAAGAAAAGUUUCUAAGUUUAGCUAAUGUUGCCCGUACCGUAAACCGACACAGGUGGGUGGGAUGAGUAUUCUAAGGCGCGUGGAAGAACUCUCUUUAAGGAACUCUGCAAAAUAGCACCGUAUCUUCGGUAUAAGGUGUGGUUCGCUUCGUAUUAGGAUUUACUCCGAAAGCGAAGAAACUUACAACAAAGAGUCCCUCCCGACUGUUUACCAAAAACACAGCACUCUGCUAACUCGUAAGAGGAUGUAUAGGGUGUGACGCCUGCCCGGUGCUCGAAGGUUAAUUGAUGGGGUUAGCAUUAGCGAAGCUCUUGAUCGAAGCCCGAGUAAACGGCGGCCGUAACUAUAACGGUCCUAAGGUAGCGAAAUUCCUUGUCGGUUAAAUACCGACCUGCAUGAAUGGCGUAACGAGAUGGGAGCUGUCUCAAAGAGGGAUCCAGUGAAAUUGUAGUGGAGGUGAAAAUUCCUCCUACCCGCGGCAAGACGGAAAGACCCCGUGGACCUUUACUACAGCUUGACACUGCUAUUUGGAUAAGAAUGUGCAGGAUAGGUGGGAGGCUUUGAGUAUAUGACGCCAGUUGUAUAUGAGCCAUUGUUGAGAUACCACUCUUUCUUAUUUGGGUAGCUAACCAGCUUGAGUUAUCCUCAAGUGGGACAAUGUCUGGUGGGUAGUUUGACUGGGGCGGUCGCCUCCCAAAUAAUAACGGAGGCUUACAAAGGUUGGCUCAGAACGGUUGGAAAUCGUUCGUAGAGUAUAAAGGUAUAAGCCAGCUUAACUGCAAGACAUACAAGUCAAGCAGAGACGAAAGUCGGUCUUAGUGAUCCGGUGGUUCUGUGUGGAAGGGCCAUCGCUCAAAGGAUAAAAGGUACCCCGGGGAUAACAGGCUGAUCUCCCCCAAGAGCUCACAUCGACGGGGAGGUUUGGCACCUCGAUGUCGGCUCAUCGCAUCCUGGGGCUGGAGCAGGUCCCAAGGGUAUGGCUGUUCGCCAUUUAAAGCGGUACGCGAGCUGGGUUCAGAACGUCGUGAGACAGUUCGGUCCCUAUCUGCCGUGGGCGUAAGAAGAUUGAAGAGAUUUGACCCUAGUACGAGAGGACCGGGUUGAACAAACCACUGGUGUAGCUGUUGUUCUGCCAAGAGCAUCGCAGCGUAGCUAAGUUUGGAAAGGAUAAACGCUGAAAGCAUCUAAGCGUGAAGCCAACUCUAAGAUGAAUCUUCUCUAAGCUCUCUAGAAGACUACUAGUUUGAUAGGCUGGGUGUGUAAUGGAUGAAAGUCCUUUAGCUGACCAGUACUAAUAGAGCGUUUGGCUUAUCUUUAAUAAAGCAU
rnacentral:rRNA from 1 species